GUUGGUGUUCCUAUGUCGACAGUUCCCGAAUUUAAUCUUUGUUGCUUGUAAUUGUGGUGCGUGCCAGUAAACUGUUUCUCGAUCGUAGUUCUCAUCUAAGGGUGAUGUAUGCAUUAUCGUAACGUAUAAUUGCAAGCGUUAAAUGUUUCUAUACCUAGUGGAAAAUAUUCCCAAAACUCUCACUGUCAGAAGAAAUCUCGCAGAAGCUACUUAAGAAAUUCACCCCACGAGGCCUGCUGUUGGAGUGAUAGAGUUGAAAAGUGGCUGCUCCUGUGCAUUCUGCGUUUCUCCUGAAGACAGUAAAAGCAGCAACGUUCGGCCUUGCCUAUGAAAACUCAGAAAGGCAGCGCGAAGCAAGGCAAUCAGUCAGCCAACAAGCAUAUGGUGCCUCCAAGGCGCUGACUCAGCGUAUUUGACCCACCAAACAUUACCUCACACGCCAAGACUUACGUAAUCAUUCUUUAGCGCUCAUUUUUUGCUCAUAGAGAAUAGCAGUCACUUUCGUAAAAUGAUUUAAUUUUAGUUUGACAAGUUCAUUUCUCUUGUUUUGCUCACACGUUCAUGUUUGUUCAUCAUUCAGCUUCAUUUAGUGCAUAUUCUGUUCCACAUUACACACUGGGGCUCCGGAUUUUUUAGUUCUCCAUGGUUGUCAACAUGGAAGGCAAAAACAUAAAUCUCUUUGAGCUAUAUCUGCAUUGUUUCUUUUGUAGUUAAUUAACAUUUCCACGAGUAGGGCUGACCUAAUAUAAGACUAAAAAUACUGUCAUUUCUGCAUAUGAUUGAUCUUACACCUUUGACAAAUGAUUCCUUUAGUAAGUUAAUGCUCAUAUACUACUUAUAUUGCAUUAUGGGCCUUUCUGUUCCUUCUCUGAAAUGGGGCAAGGGAGAAGUUAAAUUUCCAACGAUGAACUGGUAUGUAGAGGUCUUGCGUAUUAUUAUUAAUAUAUAAUUAAUAAUAAUCUCAGUGCUUAAGGUAGUGAAAAGAGGGAGUUGGAGAUGUUAGACAGCAAGACAGAGGAAUCCAUAGAAUAAAGAGAUGAAGUACAAGGAUCUAAAGUUGGAACUAUAGGAGAAAACACCCACACUUGUAAAGUAUGCCAAUAUGCUUAAUCAAAGGUCAAGCC